rnacentral:snoRNA from 1 species
CACAUCGAUGAUGAUGAGCUCGUCUCCUACAUCACCGCCCGCCUCGACAUGGAGUACCAGCCCCUCGUCUCCGCCAAUGACGCACGCACCGACACCAUCAACCUCGACGAUCUCUAUGCUCAGAUGAGCAACUUCGAUC